CUAGAAAUAAAAAAGAGAGAAACCAUUUCCUUUGUACCUCUGCCCAGAUUUUUGUACCCAUUCCAGCGUCCCUCCCUCGUUCUGCUCCCUCCAUAUUGUACAGAAUCAAAGAGUUCGUCCGAUGCCAUCCUUCCGUCCACGCGGCAAAGAUCUUUUUCAGGUGAAGACCUUUGUUUUCAGCCUGCUCCCCUCCCACCUCCCUCACUCCCACACGAAUCCGAGCUGCCAUAGUGAACCAAAAUUAUGCGUGUAAACUUUAUUCUCCGGCACCCUGCUAAUAUGCAUCUUCAAUUCUGUACAUAUCCCGGUGAUAGUCUUUCGGUGGUGGGCUGCCCUUAUUGGAGAGUGGCUCCUCCCUCUAACAUCAUGAGCCCAACAGCGAAAUGGUGCUGCUGGUGGAGGUGGAAACGGUGGCCUCCUCUCAAAUCCUUUCCUUUCAUUAAAGAAGGCAUUCCUUCCUCCAUCGGUACCCAUCCCUCCCCCAUCCUUCCAUCCCUGCGGCGGACAAUUUCCAAACACUCCAGAUAUCACGCAAUCAAACAGAGUAUUCAAACAAAUCCUCAUCGAACUUCCGAACACUUCCAAUUCAAACAACUUCUAAUUAAGAAUUGAUCGUCAAGCGGGAAGGAGUUAGAUUUGGGAAGUUUUUAUUUUUUAAAUAUUUUAUAUGGGCCAUUAAAAAAAUAGCAUGUGGCAUCGGUCAAAUUUCGGUUGAAUCUCUCGGUCCUUCUAGCAUUGUCCUUGCAUUGAUGGCCGCUGCUGUGCUAGCAGUAGUUCAAACAUCAAUUUUCAUUAAAAGGGUCUGUCGUGUAACAAAGGCCAAAAACAGACACUACAGCCUGAAAGAUGAUAUGUUUCUCGUCAAUAAAAAAUGGGUGAAAUCACUUCAAACAA